CCGAGAACCUUGAACCUUAGUGCAACACCACUAGUGAG
rnacentral:sRNA from 1 species